ACUGCCGAGAAGACUUGCGCGCAGGCGCGGUCUUGCGUUCUUUGCCAGGUCGGCCGCGUGGCUGGUGGUCAUGGCUGCUCCCGCUGGUGUUGAGACUAGGGAGCAACAUCGGGCUUGUGACGGUCAUCUGCAGAGGCGGGUGAAAAGCAGAGCUGCAGGUUGAAGCUUCAGAAUAACGGUGGGAGCCUUAAAAUAAAUGAAAGGUGUUGUCAUGUGAAAAUCCAUUAAUGAUGUUGAGUGUAAGAAUCUUCACGAUGAAAUUUCUGUAAAUGGUAUGGUCUCAGCCUCAGUUUCUGAGGCUGAAAAAGGACCUCUAGUAGUCACACUGGCAGGUGCCCUGAACCUGGACUGAAGUAGACCAUCUCAGGCAUGUUAACUGUAAUGGGAUGCCAGAUCAGCACAGCCCUGCCUCUGCUGCCAGUUGCUAAUGCCUGUAAAAUAAUCUACCCCAAAGAAUCAUUUGAGAGUUCUUUGGACUUCAUCUUUAAAGGAAUUCGAGUGGCUGGGAUUAUCCUAGAAAACCUUUGGCAGUUAGUGAAAUUAGGGUACAACUUAGUACAUUCAGACCUCCAGUUUGGGUGAUCUGGGUAUAAAGUUAUAAAUUAGCAGUUCUGAUAAUGAUUGUAAUUUGAAAUUAUUAACAUGUAUAUACUCUGUUAGGGGAGACUGAUGGGAAAUGUUUUUCCUAUGGGAGCAGUGUGUCUUGGGUUUAAAUUUUGAAGCACAAAUAAAGUUUUUUUAUUGACUUACUAACAUUGUGGAUUUCAGAUUGAAACCCACAGUGAGAAUGAUAUUUUAUUCUAUUACUUGGUAAACACAUUUGUAUGAGUUUCAGAAAAUAAAACUUAAUCCCACUUACACAGAAUGCCAUCUGAUGUUUUCUAUUUUUAUUUUUUGUUUUUUUUUUGGCCGGGGCUGGGUUUGAACCCACCACCUCUGGCAUAUGGGACCGGCGCCCUACUCCUUGAGCCACAGGCGCUGCCUGUUUUCUAUUUUUUUAAUAGCCUGCUAAAUUGAUUUUGUGCC